rnacentral:rRNA from 1 species
GACGAACGCUGGCGGCGUGCCUAAUACAUGCAAGUCGAGCGGACUUUCAAGAAGCUUGCUUUUUGAAAGUUAGCGGCGGACGGGUGAGUAACACGUGGGCAACCUGCCUGCAAGACGGGGAUAACUCCGGGAAACCGGGGCUAAUACCGGAUAAUAUCUUCCUUCGCAUGAAGGAAGGUUGAAAGGCGGCGCAAGCUGCCGCUUGCAGAUGGGCCCGCGGCGCAUUAGCUAGUUGGUGAGGUAACGGCUCACCAAGGCGACGAGGCGUAGCCGACCUGAGAGGGUGAUCGGCCACACUGGGACUGAGACACGGCCCAGACUCCUACGGGAGGCAGCAGUAGGGAAUCUUCCGCAAUGGACGAAAGUCUGACGGAGCAACGCCGCGUGAGCGAAGAAGGUCGUCGGAUCGUAAAGCUCUGUUGUCAGGGAAGAACAAGUACCGUUCGAACAGGGCGGUACCUUGACGGUACCUGACCAGAAAGCCACGGCUAACUACGUG